rnacentral:misc_RNA from 1 species
UCACCUCCUUUUUUAUUGCGUAACGAUUACAUUCUCCAUGUUCAGUAUAGCAUCAAAUGAUUUUAUCGUUCAUUAGUGCACUGCAAGAUAUAUACAUCGGAAGAAAGAUAAGUCACAAAGCGUAUGUGCUAAUACCCCGAUGCCAGCCCCGUGUGUUACAUAGAAAUAAUAUAUUUAAUCGAACGGAACUUCAGACAAAAUAUUGUAAGAAGACAGGAACAACAGUAAGGAAAAUGAGCCUUCCAGAUUCAUCUACAGUUACUUGCAAUCUUUUUAAAGGCAAGAAGGAUCGGUUUGGUGGCAUAAUUGUUGAUUCAGAAGUGGAGAGUUCUGAUGAUAACUUCAGCACCAAACUCUUAAAGUCCCUUGAACACUGGUCAGAACAGAAUGUUCGAGCAGUCUGGUUCAGAGUAGCCUUACAUCAUGCAGAGUGGAUUCCAGUGUUAGCAAAGAAUGGUUUCGUGUUUCACCAUGCAGAACCAAUGAGUGUUUCCAUGGUCAAGUGGCUGCCAAUCACAGAAAUAUGCAAUAUUCCUCAAUAUGCACAUACAAUGAUAGGAGUAGGUGCUGUUGUUGUAAACAAGGACCAAGAACUAUUGGUUGUUCGGGAACGCUUUCAUACAGUACCUCACUGGAAACUGCCCGGUGGAUAUUUAGAACCAGGUGAAGAUAUUCCAGAUGCUGCAAUAAGAGAAGUCCUGGAAGAAACUAAUGUCCAAACAGAAUUCAGAUAUCUUAUUUGUUUCCGACAUACUCAUGGUGCUAAUUUUGCCUGCUCAGAUAUUUAUUUUAUUGUCUGCCUGACUCCUAUUUCUGAAUCAAUAACAAAAUGUGACCGUGAGAUUGCAGAUUGUCGGUGGAUGAAGAUUUCAGAUUAUUUGACUGAUCCUGGAGUCAUUGAAACCAACCGAUUUUUCCUGAGAAAAUAUCUUGAAUAUGAGAAGUCGGGAAGCAUUGUGGGAUGUGUAAAAAAUAUUCAUCCACUUCUUAAGAAACCUCAAUGUUUAUAUAGUAUAGAUAAUAUGAAGGAUGGAUCCAAAAUAUAGGAAACAAAUCACUAAAUGUAUGUAGCAAAAGUAACAGUAUAGUGGUCAUUACUUCUCAGUUGACAAAAAUGGUUAAUGAAAUAUAUCCAAACAUAUAAUCAUUACUAUGUUGCAUUUGUAUUACACACUGAUGUCACACUAACCAAUUAUGAUGAAAUGGCUGGAACUGUUGCAGUGUAAUACAUAUUAUUAUUUAAUUCAAGAUAUAACUAUUACUUCAUUAUUUGAAUGACUGUGAUGUUAGUUUUAUUUUACCAUAAUUUAUUCUAUAAUUAAUUGUGAUACAGUUGGUUUCAUUUUAUUGUAUCAGCCAACAAUAAAAUAAGUUUCACUAAUAA